CCUACGGGUGGCAGCAGUGAGGAAUAUUGGUCAAUGGGCUUACGCCUGAACCAGCCAAGUCGCGUGAGGGAAGACUGCCCUAUGGGUUGUAAACCUCUUUUGUCAGGGAGCAACGCCGGCUACGUGUAGCCGGACUGAGAGUACCUGAAGAAAAAGCAUCGGCUACCUCCGUGCCAGCAGCCGCGGUAAUCCGGAGGAUGCGAGCGUUAUCCGGAUUUAUUGGGUUUAAAGGGUGCGUAGGGGGAAUGCGAAGUCAGCGGUAAAAUCGCGGGGCCCAACCUCGCUCCGCCGUUGAAACUGGCGGGCGUGAGUGUGCGAGAGGUAGGCGGAAUGCGUGGUGUAGCGGUGAAAUGCAUAGAUAUCACGCAGAACUCCGAUUGCGAAGGCAGCAUACCGGCGCCCAACUGACGCUGAUGCACGAAAGCGUGGGGAUCGAACAGGAUUAGAUACCCGUGUAGUC
rnacentral:rRNA from 1 species